CAAGGCUAAAUACUCCUGACUGACCGAUAGUGAACCAGUACCGUGAGGGAAAGGCGAAAAGAACCCCGGCGAGGGGAGUGAAAAAGAACCUGAAACCGUGUACGUACAAGCAGUGGGAGCACCCUUUUGGGUGUGACUGCGUACCUUUUGUAUAAUGGGUCAGCGACUUAUAUUCUGUAGCAAGGUUAACCGUAUAGGGGAGCCGGAGGGAAACCGAGUCUUAAUUGGGCGUUAAGUUGCAGGGUAUAGACCCGAAACCCGGUGAUCUAGCCAUGGGCAGGUUGAAGGUUGGGUAACACUAACUGGAGGACCGAACCGAC
rnacentral:rRNA from 1 species